rnacentral:misc_RNA from 1 species
UUUCCGUAGGUGAACCUGCGGAAGGAUCAUUAACACUAAUCCACAUACCUAAACCGAACCUUUUGUGCAGUAACAGCGUGCGCUAGCGAAAGCAGGCAAGCGCUCGUUACCGCAUCUAAAACUAAUCUAAAGGAGUUUAACUAAGCUUCAAUACUAAAACCAAAUUCUCAACGAUGGAUAUCUUGGUUCCC